AACGUUGUCAAAGUUUCAUUACAUACACUUACCACCAGGAGGUACUAUGUCGAUUAUGUUGUAUUACUAAUGUUCAAAGGGCUUUGAACUGUGUGCUUUGCUCUCUCAAAAUAUUAUUUGAAUACAACAUAUUUAUCAAGCCAUGCACGAGCUGCACAGUGACGUGAGCCUACCAGAUGGGCUAAUUAAUUUUAUGCUCGUUUUGAGGCAAGCAACACUGAAGCGUGCAUGAGAACCCCAGCAGUUCCAGAUGACUGUGACCACACCAUAGCUGAUGUAAGAUCUUUACAGGUCAACAUUGACAAGUCCAUGGGGCCAGACGUAUUACCAGAACAGGUAACCAGAGCAUGCGUGGACCAACUGGCAAGUGUCUUCACUGACAUUUUCAAUCUCCCUGACCAAGUAUGUAAUAAAUUUUCAACCAUACCACCAUCGUCUCUGUGCCCAAGAACGCCAAGAUAACCUUCCUAAAUGACUACCGCCCCGUAGAAUUCACGUCUGUACCCAAGAAGUGCUUUGAAAGGCUGGUCAUGGCUCACAUCCACACCAUCAUCCCGGAAACCCUAGAUCCACUCCAAUUCGCAUACUGCCCCUACAGAUCCACAGAAGACAAAAUCUCUUUCACUCCAAACUGCCCUUUCCCACUGGGACAAAAGGAACACCUAUGUGAGAAUGCUGUUCAUGCUCAUCACUAAGCUAAGGACCCUGGGACUAAACACCUCCCCCUGCAACUGGAUCCUGGACUGCCUGAUGGGCUGUCUCCAGGUUGUGUGGGUAGGUAACACAUCCGCCUCGCUGAUCCUCAAUACGGUGGUCCCUCAGGGGUGGUGCUUUAUACCUGUACUCCCUGUUCACCCACUACUGCGUGGCCAAGCAUGACUCCAACACCAUCAUUAAUUUUGCUGAUGACACAAUGGUGGUAAGCCUGAUCACUGACAAGGAUGAGAGCCUACAAGAAGGUCAGAGACCUGGCAGUGUGGUGCCAGGACAACAACCUCUCCCUCAACAUGAGAAAGACAAAGGAGCUGAUCGUGGACUACAGAAAAAGGAGGACCGAACAUACCCCCAUUCACAUCGACGUGGGUCGUGAGCUUCAAGUUACUUGGUGUCCACAUCACCAGCAAACUAUCAUGGUCCAAACACACCAACACAAGUCGUGAAGAGGGCACAGCUGCACCAUCGAGAGCAUCCUGACCGGUUGUAUCACCGCCUGGUAUGGCAACUGCUCAGCAUCCGACUGGAAGAUGCUACAGAGGGUAGUGCGUAUGGCCCAGUACAUCACUGGGGCCAAGCUUCCUGUCAUCCAGGACCACUGACACCGCGUAGUAUAAAGGAAGGCCCAUAAAAUUGUCAAACUCCAGCCACCCAAAUCAUAGCCUGUUCUUUCUGCUACCGCAUGGCAAUCGGUACCUGAGAGCCACGUCUUAGCAUGAGGUUGUAAGUAUCAACAUUUCCCAGGACAUAGACAUAUCUGAUCUUGGCAGAAAUCUUAAAUUCUUGUUAAUCUAACUGCACUGUCCAAUUUACAGUAGCUAUAUUACAGUGAAUGAAUAUCAUGCUAUUGUUUGAGGAGAGUGCACAGUUAUGAACCUAAAGUUAUUAAUAAACCAAUUAGGCACAUUUGGGUAAUCUAAAACUUUGCACAUACACUGCUGCCACCUAGUGGCCAAAAUCUAAAUUGCACCUGGGCUGGAAUAAUACAUUAUGGCAUUUCUCUUGCAUUUCAAAGAUGGUAUUUUCUUUUACCAGAUCUAAAGUGUUAUAUUCUCCCACAUUCAUUUCACAUUUACACAAACUUCAAAGUAUUUCCUUUCAAAUAGUAUCAAGAAUAUGCAUAUCCUUGCUUCAAUCCCUAAGCUACAGGCAGUUAGAUUUGGAUAUAUGUUAUUUUAGUCAGAAAUUGAAAAGGGUGGAUCCUUAAGAGGGUUAACAACUUCUACCCCCAAGCCAUAAAACUGCAGAACAAUUAAGCAAAUGGCUACAGACUAUUUUUUUUUGUACACUACUGCUACUCGCUGUUUAUUUUUGCAUUGUCACUUUACCCCUACCUACAGUUGAAGUCGGAAGUUUACAUACACCUUAGCCAAAUACAUUUAAACUCAGUUUUUCACAAUUCCUGACAUUUAAUCCUAGUAAAAUUUCCCUGUUUUAGGGCAGUUAGGAUCACCACUUUAUUUUAAGAAUGUGAAAUGUCAGAAUAAUAGUAGUGAGAAUUAUUUUCAGCUUUUAUUUCUUUUAUCACAUUCCCAGUGGGUCAGAAGUUUACAUACACUCAAUUAGUAUUUGGUAGCAUUGCCUUUAUUUAAAAUAAAAUAAAAACUUGGAUCAAACCCUUACACAAGCUUCCCACAAUAAGUUGGGUGAAUUUUGGCCCAUUCCUCCUGAUUUGUUUGUAGGCCUCCUUGCUCGCACAUGCUUUUUCAGUUCUGCCCACAAAUUUUCUAUAGGAUUGUGGUCAGGGCUUUGUGAUGGCCACUCCAAUACCUUGACUUUGUUGUCCAUAAGCCAUUUUGCCACAACUUUGGAACUAUGCUUGGGUUCAUUGUCCAUUUGGAAGACCCAUUUGUGACCAAGCUUUAACUUCCUGACUGAUGUCUUGAGCUGUUGCUUCAAUAUAUCCACACAAUUUCCUCCCACAUUAUGCCAUCUAUUUUGAAGUGCACCAGGCCCUCCUGCAGCAAAGCACCCCCACAACAUGAUGCUGCCACCCCUGUGCUUCAUGGUUGGGAUGGUUUUCUUCGGCUUGCAAGCCUUCCUGUUUCAUCAGACCAGAGGACAUUUCUCCAAAAGGUACGAUCUUUGUCCCCAUGUGCAGUUGCAAACCAUAGUCUGUCUUUUUUUAUGGCGGUUUUAGAGCAGUGGCUUCUUCUUUGCUGAGCGGCCUUUCAGGUUAUGUUGAUGUAGGACUCAUUUUACUGUGGAGAUCUUUUGUACCCGUUUCCUCCAGAAUCUUCACCAAUCCUUUGCUGCUACUCUGUGAUUAAUUUGCACUUUUCACACCAAAGUACGUUCAUCUAUAGGAGACAGAACGCAUCUCCUUCCUGGGCAGUAUGACUGCUGCGUGGUCCCAUGGUGUUUACACUUGCGUACUAUUGUUUGUACAGACGAACAUGGGUACCUUCAGGCGUUUGGAAAUUGCACCCAAGGAUGAACUAGACUUGUGGAGGUCUACAAAAAAAAAAUCUUAGGUCUGGGCUGAUUUUCCCAUGAUGUCAAGCAAAGAGGCACUGAGUUUGAAGGUAGGCCUUGAAAUACAUGCACAGGUACACCUCCAAUUGACUCAAAUUAUGUCAAUUAGCCUAUCAGAAGCUUCUAAAGCCAUGACACCAUUUUCUGGAAGCUGUUUAAAGGCACAAUCAAUUUAGUAUGUACACUUCUGACCCACUGGAAUUGUGAGUGAAAUAAUGUAAACAAUUGUUGGUAAAAUGACUUGUGUCAUGCACAAAGUGGAUGUCCUAACCGACUUGCCAAAACUAUAGUUUGUUAACAAGAAAUUUGUGGAGUGGUUGAAAAAUGAGUUUUAAUGACUCCAACCAAAGUGUAUGUAAACUUCCAACUUCAACUGUACAUGCAGGCUGGCAGAAUCAUAUUACUCUCGGCUCCGGGUAAUGGUACCCGAGUCCACUUAAAUUUAUCCAGCCCGAUUAACUUUUUCAGGAGAAAGGCCAUUUGAGGAUUUUAUUCGUCAGGUGUUGAAACACCAAGGGGGGGAAAGUGAUUUUAUUUCAUUUGCUUGGUCAUUAAAAGUUCAAAUUGGUGAUAGUUUCUGCUAUCCUAUAGCUAUCAGAGAUGAUCCCUAAUUUUAGAGAAUCUCUGAUGCUAUAAAUGCUUUUGGUUUUAAUACAGGCUAUGGCAGUGUUUUUCGUAGUUACAGUCCACCAAAUUGAAGUGUAUAUUCACUUCCAUAAUAUUUGUUCUAGGCAAUAAACAUACAUGAUACCCAUACUAAAAUGCAGUACCAUGGAAUAAUGGUUGUUUAAUUAAUUAAUCUGGUAGCUUGCUGUAUGUGUUGGCUUCUAAUGGUAAUUUUUCAUUUGUAUUAGCUAAUUGCACUGUUUAUUGUGCUGCACAUUUUCUUCUGUUCCACUGAAUUCUGUUUGGAUGUUUUAUGACUAACUAUUUAUUUAAGAAAUAACACAAGCAUGUCUUAUUUCAAUAUUUCAUUUAUUUCAUGCUUCAAUCCACUAGGGUUUUCAAAACCUUACUUUUAUCGCAUUUAUUUCCAUACGUAAUUUGUCAAAAUGUAUUGCACCUGAAUUUGACCCUGAAAAUAUUACUAUUAUAUUUUCCCUUAUCUUUUAAGCAAUUAACAGAAUCCGUGCAGUCAUUUAAUUUUCAUUUCUGUAGCAAAAUAUGGAGGUAACCAUAUUAGUUCUAGCUAUAAAAAAAAGAUCUCUUGCGUGCAGCCUGCUUGCUCGAGCACAUUGGUCAACAGCAACAGUUUUUCAAAAUGUACACAACUUCUAAAAGUGGUAGUCCCUGUUCUCCUGAAUUCUUGUUUUACUUUUGUAAGUAAAGCGGCAGUUUGUUGGGGAGACUAAAGUCAAGGUAACAUUAGCUAGCUAACUAACUAAUUCAGCUGGCUAAUGCUAGCUCUCUGGCUAAUCCACUAUGGACAUGGUACAUUUGAAUUUCUACCUGUUGAAGCUAGCUAGAUAACAUUUGAAUAUCUGAGUUAAUGAUUGUAAAGCGGUGUGUGUGUAUAUUCUCUGCAGGUGUGUGAGAGAGAUCACAAUCACUUUAGAAAACAUUCAUGUCAACGUAGUCAUGCUAGCUAUGUGUGUGUGUUCAGUGUGAGAGGGAGAGAGAGAGAUGAUUGUGAUGAUAAUCUAUAGAAAAUAUGUCAACAUUGUCAUGCUAGCUGUGAGUGUGUGAGAGAGAGAUUGUACAUGAAUACACAUACAUUGAUUGUGUGUGAGACAGUAAGGUAGCCUACUGGAAAAUUCUUGAAAUGUGUACCUCCCCACACUGGAUGUGAAGAUUUUUAUUGAUUAAUCAGAGAUCUUUUGUAUUUGACAAUAGGAUACAUUUUGCCUAUCCCUGCUCCCCCUCAACAUUCUAACGUUACACACCUCAACUGCCCUUUUCAAUUCUUUCUCCUUUUUUUUUUGCAGGAAUCUUCUAGCUUGGAUGGAGGAAACAAAGGGAGGAGUACAGAAUUUAUCUAGCCUGCUGACUAAGAAAUUUCCUGAAACAUGUCAAUGACCUGAUGCAUGGCCUCUACAGCAGUGCUUCGGCACCCACUCAGUUACCAGUGACCUAUUUUGGCACAUCCCAGUGAAAGGAGAGAGCAGAAGCACCCUUCCUUAAAUCUAUAGUCAUUGACAGAAUCUUCUAGCUUGGAAGGAUGGAGGAGUGAACAAAGGGAAGGAGUACUGAAGUUACCCAGCCUGCUGACUAAGAAAUCUCCUGAAACAUGUCAAUGACUUAAUGUAUGGGGUCUACAACAGUUACUAGUGACCUAUUCUGCCACAUCCCAGUGAAAGGAGAGAGCAGAACCACCCCUCCUUAAACCCAUAGUCAUUGACAAUCUGACCCAUCGCACGACUCUGGAAGAUCGCCUUCUGUGCUCAGAGUUCCUUGAUGACAACCUACCCCAUCGCACCACUCGUAUGAAUCACUAAUCAAAUAAAACAAUGGGCCUUUAUAUAGUCCGUGUCCCAGUCUUUCUAUGCAUGUAAUUAAUGUCUGUGGGUGAAUUAUGAAACAAUUACGGUAUGCAGAUGUGCAAAAAAAUUGUGAUAAUAGAUUUGUUUUUGCCAUUGCUUGAUUGAUUUUAAAAUGUAAGAAUAUGUUGCAGAUUAACUUUAAUUGGUGACUAUGGAAACAAGUAGAAAUGUAAUGAACAAUGUUUUCAAUAUCCUACUUUAUCCUCUGCAAUACUUUUUACAGUAAACUUAGAAACAAAGGUGCUAUCUAGAACCUAAAAGGGUUAUUCGGCUGUCCCCAUAGGAUAACCUUUUUUGUUUCAGGUAAGUAGGGCCCUUUCCACGGUUCUACAUGGAGCCCAAAAGGGUUAUACGUGGAACUAACAAGCCUUCUCCCUAGAACCAAGAAGAGUACAGCCGAAGAACCCUUUAGGAACCUAUUUUUCUAAGAGUAUAGGUAAUAAAUUGUAGUCAGGUGGUCAUUACCAGGUUAUGAUGCGGUGUUAACCUCAGACUUUAUUUUCGGCGUUUAACUUUAUUCCAAAACUAUUCAUUUCCCAUUAAUUUUGCACAUAGGAAUGGCUGAACGAUCCUGAGGUAUAUCAUUUCCGAUUUGUUGUACUACAAGUUGGCGAGCUCUAGA